AUUGAACGCUGGCGGCAUGCCUUACACAUGCAAGUCGAACGGCAGCACGGGGCAACCUGGUGGCGAGUGGCGAGCGGGUGAGUAAUGCAUCGGAACGUACCUUUCAGUGGGGGAUAACGUAGCGAAAGUUACGCUAAUACCGCAUAUUCUGUGAGCAGGAAAGCAGGGGAUCGCAAGACCUUGCGCUGAUUGAGCGGCCGAUGUCAGAUUAGCUAGUUGGUGAGGUAAAGGCUCACCAAGGCGACGAUCUGUAGCGGGUCUGAGAGGAUGAUCGGCCACACUGGAACUGAGACACGGUCCAGACUCCUACGGGAGGAAGCAGUGGGGAAUUUUGGACAAUGGGAGCAACCCUGAUCCAGCCAUGCCGCGUGAGUGAAGAAGGCCUUCGGGUUAUAAAGCUCUUUCGGCCGGGAAGAAAUCGCACGGGCUAAUACCCUGUGUGGAUGACGGUACCGGAAUAAGAAGCACCGGCUAACUACGUGCCAGCCGCCGCCGUAAAAC
rnacentral:rRNA from 1 species